rnacentral:rRNA from 1 species
UACGAAGGGGGCUAGCGUUGCUCGGAAUCACUGGGCGUAAAGCGCACGUAGGCGGGCUUCUUAAGUCAGGGGUGAAAUCCUGGAGCUCAACUCCAGAACUGCCUUUGAUACUGAGGAGCCUUGAGUCCGGGAGAGGUGAGUGGAACUGCGAGUGUAGAGGUGAAAUUCGUAGAUAUUCGCAAGAACACCAGUGGCGAAGGCGGCUCACUGGCCCGGUACUGACGCUGAGGUGCGAAAGCGUGGGGAGCAACAGG